UACGGGGGGGGUAAGCGUUGUUCGGAAUUACUGGGCGUAAAGGGCUCGUAGGCGGCCAACUAAGUCGGACGUGAAAGUCAAGGGCUCAACCCUUGAAUGCCGGCCGAUAUUGUCAGGCUAGAAUCCGGAAGAGGCGAGUGGAAUUCCUGGUGUAGCGGUGAAAUGCGCAGAUAUCAGGAGGAACACCGGUGGCGAAGGCGGGUCUCUGGGCCGAUACUGACGCUGAGGAGCGAAAGCGUGGGGAGCGAACAGG
rnacentral:rRNA from 1 species